GACGAACGCUGGCGGCGUGCCUAAUACAUGCAAGUAGAACGCUGAAGAGAGGAGCUUGCUCUUCUUGGAUGAGUUGCGAACGGGUGAGUAACGCGUAGGUAACCUGCCUUGUAGCGGGGGAUAGCUAUUGGAAACGAUAGCUAAUACCGCAUAACAAUGGAUGACACAUGUCAUUUAUUUGAAAGGGGCAAUUGCUCCACUACAAGAUGGACCUGCGUUGUAUUAGCUAGUAGGUGAGGUAAUGGCUCACCUAGGCGACGAUACAUAGCCGACCUGAGAGGGUGAUCGGCCACACUGGGACUGAGACACGGCCCAGACUCCUACGGGAGGCAGCAGUAGGGAAUCUUCGGCAAUGGGGGCAACCCUGACCGAGCAACGCCGCGUGAGUGAAGAAGGUUUUCGGAUCGUAAAGCUCUGUUGUAAGUCAAGAACGGGUGUGAGAGUGGAAAGUUCACACUGUGACGGUAGCUUACCAGAAAGGGACGGCUAACUACGUG
rnacentral:rRNA from 1 species